UCCCUGGUGGCUCAGAGGGUAAAGCGUCUGCCUGCAAUGUAGGAGACCUAGGUUUGAUCCCUGGGAUGGGAA
rnacentral:tRNA from 1 species